UGGGGAAUUUUGGACAAUGGGCGAAAGCCUGAUCCAGCAAUGCCGCGUGUGUGAAGAAGGCCUUCGGGUUGUAAAGCACUUUUGUCCGGAAAGAAAUCCUUGGCUCUAAUACAGUCGGGGGAUGACGGUACCGGAAGAAUAAGCACCGGCUAACUACGUGCCAGCAGCCGCGGUAAUACGUAGGGUGCAAGCGUUAAUCGGAAUUACUGGGCGUAAAGCGUGCGCAGGCGGUUUGCUAAGACCGAUGUGAAAUCCCCGGGCUCAACCUGGGAACUGCAUUGGUGACUGGCAGGCUAGAGUAUGGCAGAGGGGGGUAGAAUUCCACGUGUAGCAGUGAAAUGCGUAGAGAUGUGGAGGAAUACCGAUGGCGAAGGCAGCCCCCUGGGCAAUACUGACGCUCAUGCACGAAAGCGUGGGGAGCAAACAGGAUUAGAUACCCUGGUAGUCCACGCCCUAAAACGAUGUCAACUAGUUGUUGGGGAUUCAUUUCCUUAGUAACGUAGCUAACGCGUGAAGUUGACCGCCUGGGGAGUACGGUCGCAAGAUUAAAACUCAAAUGAAUUGACGGGGUCAUAGCU
rnacentral:rRNA from 1 species